GCCGGGCUGGCGGAAUGGCAGACGCGGCGGUCUUAAAAACCGCUGGAGGGCAACCUCCGUCCGGGUUCGAUCCCCGGGCUCGGCA
rnacentral:tRNA from 1 species